rnacentral:lncRNA from 1 species
AUUUCUCUGCCCACACACUCCGAGACUCGCCCCGCCGCCCGAGGUGCACUGGCGGAGACAGGGAGGCCGCGCCCGGCGUGCCCACUUUGCCACUUCCAAAAUUUGCUGAAGCUGAGGCUGUGAGCACACCUCAGAAGUGGCUGGGAGGGAACCCAAACCUAAUUGCCAAAUUUCAGGUCCAGGAGGGGAGCCUCUUGUGUGUUUAUUGUUUGUCCGUCUAUUUCGUGAGCUGCGCAGGCCCGCGAUUCCUCUCCUCUUGUCUAUAGGUAGCGCUGGUGGAUUGGAAUCUUGAAGCAGGUGUACAGUGUAAAGCUGCCCUGGAUGAGCAGUUUGAACCUCAGAAGACUCUGUUCAUCCAGUGCGAUGUGGCUGACCAGCAACAACUGAGAGACACUUUUAGAAAAGUUGUAGACCACUUUGGAAGACUGGACAUUUUGGUCAAUAAUGCUGGAGUGAAUAAUGAGAAAAACUGGGAAAAAACUCUGCAAAUUAAUUUGGUUUCUGUUAUCAGUGGAACCUAUCUUGGUUUGGAUUACAUGAGUAAGCAAAAUGGAGGUGAAGGCGGCAUCAUUAUCAAUAUGUCAUCUUUAGCAGGACUCAUGCCCGUUGCACAGCAGCCGGUUUAUUGUGCUUCAAAGCAUGGCAUAGUUGGAUUCACACGCUCAGCAGCGUUGGCUGCUAAUCUUAUGAACAGUGGUGUGAGACUGAAUGCCAUUUGUCCAGGCUUUGUUAACACAGCCAUCCUUGAAUCAAUUGAAAAAGAAGAAAACAUGGGACAAUAUAUAGAAUAUAAGGAUCAUAUCAAGGAUAUGAUUAAAUACUAUGGA